rnacentral:rRNA from 1 species
CCUCGUGAGUAAAGUGGCGUACGGGUGAGUAACACGUGGAUUAUCUACCUUUUAGUGGGGGAUAACCCUGGGAAACCGGGGCUAAUACCGCAUAAGCUCGAGAGAGGAAAGCAGCAAUGCGCUGGAAGAGGAGUCCGCGGCCGAUUAGCUAGUUGGUAGGGUAAAAGCCUACCAAGGCAACGAUCGGUAGCCGGCCUGAGAGGGCACACGGCCACACUGGCACUGAAACACGGGCCAG